CUACGGGUGGCACCAGUGAGGAAUAUUGCACAAUGGGGGGAACCCUGAUGCAGCAACGCCGCGUGGAGGAUGACGCAUUUCGGUGUGUAAACUCCUUUUAUAUGUCAAGAAAAUGACGGUAGCAUAUGAAUAAGCACCGGCUAACUCCGUGCCAGCAGCCGCGGUAGUAGGAGGGUGCAAGCGUUACUCGGAAUCACUGGGCGUAAAGGACGCGUAGGCGGGUUGGAAAGUCAGGUGUGAAAUCCUACAGCUUAACUGUAGAACUGCACUUGAAACUUCUAAUCUAGAGUAUGGGAGGGGGAGAUGGAAUUAGUGGUGUAGGGGUAAAAUCCGUAGAUAUCACUAGGAAUACCUAAAGCGAAGGCGAUCUCCUGGAACAUUACUGACGCUAAGGCGUGAAAGCGUGGGGAGCAAACAGGAUUAGAUACCCUAGUAGUC
rnacentral:rRNA from 1 species